GAAUCUGAGUGAUGGCCGGCGUUAUGG
rnacentral:sRNA from 1 species